rnacentral:rRNA from 1 species
UACAGAGGUCUCAAGCGUUGUUCGGAUUCAUUGGGCGUAAAGGGUGCGUAGGCGGCGCGGUAAGUCGGGUGUGAAAUCUCGGAGCUUAACUCCGAAACUGCAUUCGAUACUGCCGUGCUUGAGGACUGGAGAGGAGACUGGAAUUUACGGUGUAGCGGUGAAAUGCGUAGAUAUCAGGAGGAAUACCGGUGGCGAAAGCGACUCUCUGGACGGCAACUGACGCUGAGGCACGAAAGCGUGGGGAGCAAACAGG